rnacentral:rRNA from 1 species
AUUGAACACUGGCGGCAUGCCUUACACAUGCAAGUCGAACGGUAACGCGGGGCAACCUGGCGACGAGUGGCGAACGGGUGAGUAACGCAUCGGAACGUGCCCAGUAGUGGGGGAUAGCCCGGCGAAAGCCGGAUUAAUACCGCAUACGACCUACGGGUGAAAGCGGGGGACCGUAAGGCCUCGCGCUAUUGGAGCGGCCGAUGUCAGAUUAGGUAGUUGGUGGGGUAAAAGCCUACCAAGCCGACGAUCUGUAGCUGGUCUGAGAGGACGACCAGCCACACUGGGACUGAGACACGGCCCAGACUCCUACGGGAGGCAGCAGUGGGGAAUUUUGGACAAUGGGCGCAAGCCUGAUCCAGCCAUGCCGCGUGCGAGAAGGAGGCCUUCGGGUUGUAAACCGCUUUUGUCAGGGAAGAGACGCUCCGAACUAAUACUUUGGGGUAAUGACGGUACCUGAAGAAUAAGCACCGGCUAACUACGUGCCAGCCGCCGCCGUAAUAC